rnacentral:rRNA from 1 species
GACGUAGGGCGCGAGCGUUGUCCGGAUUUAUUGGGCGUAAAGAGCUCGUAGGCGGUCUGUCGCGUCGGUCGUGAAAACUUGGGGCUUAACCCUGAGCUUGCGGUCGAUACGGGCAUGACUGGAGUUCGGUAGGGGAGACUGGAAUUCCUGGUGUAGCGGUGAAAUGCGCAGAUAUCAGGAGGAACACCGGUGGCGAAGGCGGGUCUCUGGGCCGAUACUGACACUGAGAGACGAAAGCUAGGGGAGCAAAUGGG